rnacentral:rRNA from 1 species
CACUUGUAGUCUGGGCCCAAUCCCCAUUUGUUCAAUUUAUUGCUUCUUUCAGUAGGUUAUGUUUCCAUUUUUCGUGAUAUAAUAUCAGUUUAAAGGACUGUUUAGUUCGCGACUGUGGAUACAGGUUUAUGGUACCUGUUAACAUACGAACAUAAAGGUUUUUUUACCCAGCCCGCCGAUUUUAGACUGGGCCAAGAUUGAUUAUUGGUUUUGUUUUGUUCCGUUGAUAGUGCUUUGGGUGGACCUGGCAACGGGUACGAGAAAAAAGGAAAGGACCUGUUGUUUAGUGGACUGCUUCUUUUCCUUGUUUUUAGUCGUCUUAUGACCGCAGAGGGUCCUGGGAGGAAAUUGAACGUAGUGUGUUCAGUAGACCCUCCGCGGUACCCUAUCCCCUUUACUCCUCUUCUUUCUCAUCUUUUUGUAGUCUCUCUGCAGUACCCUCUCUCCCUCACUCUUCUUCCUUCUUGUUGUUGUUCAGUCUCUCCGUGUAGUCUCCCCGUUCAUGGACCUCUCUUCGUUCCCCCUUCUUGUCUAGGCUUAUUAACCACCUCCCGUCUCCUUCUAGUUGGUUCUCUGCCAGGUGUCGAGUGCAUUACAGGAUGAGGAAAACUAGUGUGAAGAUAACUUGAGAAGGCACAAAAAGGAGUGGGGCGACGAGAUCUAUGUGUAGGAUGUACUUGAUCGGACAUCUUUUUUUUUGUAGUAUGUUAGAUCACUUUUACACCCUUAGUAGUCCCCCCUUUAAGAUUGACAGUCUUCCAUUUUGACAAUUAUAAAGUGACAGUUUUGUGAUGUGGUUGUGCUUAAGGUCACAUUCCAUGUGUACUUUUUUUGAAACGACGUCAUAUCCCGUUACAUCCAUCGUACUUGGUACCCCUUUAAUGUACUUUUUUUGAAACGACAUCAUGUGUACUUUUUUAGAAACGACGCUAUGUCCCGUUACAUUGAUUGUACUUGAGUCACCUAAUGUCUCUAUGUACGUUCAAGUCUGCUUCAGUACUUAUGUUUCUGUAUGGAUAGUCGUAUUUCUUGUGUUCAGGAUAGUCUACUUCCGUAAUUAUAACUGUUACUUUUCGUCUCGAACAAUGUCACGAGCAUGUGUACCUGUCACUUCCUUUACUUAUUAGUGUGAUCACCUAAUGUUACUAUUAUUGGUUCCUUGAUGUGUCCUAUUAGCGGGAUUUGUCUCAAUUUUAGGUGACAUUAAGUUCGUUUCGACUUGUUCUUACUUCGAGUUUAUAGUUCAUUAUCUCCAAGUCGUCCUUUUAAUGUGAUGAAACAAAUCUUUUUUUUACUUUAAAUGUGACUUCAAGAUCCUUUUUAAUGUGACGUUAAGCCCCUUAUUAAUGUGAUAUUAAUGUAUUUAUUUCGUACUUCAAAUUUGACAUUAAUACCCCUUUUAAUGUGACAUUAAUGUAUUUACUUCGUACCUCAAAUGUGACGUUAAGAUCCUUUUAAUGUGACAUUAAUUUUUUUACUUCGUAACCCUAAUGUGAUUUUAGACCCGAUUUAAUGUGACGUUAAGAUCCCAUAUAAUGUGACGUUAAUGUUUUUCCUUCGUACCCCUAACGUUACUUUAAGAACUUUUUAUCGAAAUAGUUUGGGAGAUAGUAGUGAUCUUUCUAGGACUUUUUGUUAAGUCAGUUGUUUGUUUUUUUUAAUUAUUUGACUUUCUUUCUUAUUUUUGCUUUUACUUUCAUCUCUUGUUCUGUCUUUAUUGAUGGUUUCUGUAUCGUAAUCUUGGUAGAAGGCGUUUCAGUAAUCCGUGUUUUACUAGUAAGGUUCUUAGUCGUGAGUGCUAUCUUCUUUGAUGGCUUUGUAGGAACACUCUCUGAAAGGCAUCAGAGGGGUAACUGGAUUUGGAUUGUUUUGUCUUAUGUACUGUGUGCUUUUUUUUUCUUUAAUUUCUUUCAACUUUUAAUAUCUCAUUACCCCGAGUUAAUGUUCCCUUUAGAGUGUUGUUUAUGUGACUUUCCGUCGUUAGUCCCCUUAAUAUCUUAUUACCCCGUAUAAUUAUGUCACGUUCUUAGUGAAUUUUAUGUCACAUUUUUGGUUGGAUUUAUGUCACUUUGAGACUCAGUUUUAUGUGUUAUUAAUCCCGUUGAAUGUUACUUUUCCAUCUCCUUCAUGUGACGGUUUUUGACUUCUAUUUAAUAUAUCAUUCUUACCCCCUAUAAUGUCACGUUUUGAUGUACUUACGUACGUUUUGUAGACUCUUUUUAAUGUUACAUUUAUUGUUUCUUUGACCGCGUCAUAAUGUGACUUUUUAUAUGUGACGUUAAAUGUGACUUUCUUCGUACUCUUAAUGUGCCAUUGCCCCCUUUUAUAAUGUGUCAUUGAGAUCCCUUUUAAUGUGUCAUUAAUGUUUAUUUCUUCGUGUUUUUUGUGUGCCAUUAGUGCCAUAUAACGUGACAUUAACGUCCCAUUGGAUGUCACAUUAAGAUGCUGUACAAUGUGUCAUUAAUAUCGUUUUAAAUGUGACUUCUUUCUUCGUAGUCCUAAUGUGACAUUAAUCCCCCCUUUAUGUGUCAUGAUGAUCCUGUUUAAUGUCUCAUUGUUGUUUAUUUCUUCGUAGUCCGAUGUGACAUUUACGUGACGUUAAUACCCCGUUCAAUGUGACAUUAAUACUCAAUUUAAUGUGUCAUUAAGACCUACCCCUAUGUGACAUUAAGAUCCCCAUUCAAUGUGAAGUUCAGACCUCAUUUUUAUGUGGCAUUUCUUCGUACUUUAAGUCUCUCUAAGGACCUGAUUGUGAUGUUGUUGUGACGUCGGAUCAUGUGUGUUUAAGUCUCUCUAAGUCCAUGGCCCACUUUACUUGUGGAUGUAGAUUGUUUUUUUUAGUAUAACUUAAGGUCCCUAAUGUUGUCGUUUGUAGUCGUCGAUUGUCGUUGAUGUUCAUUUGACGUCUUCGUCCGUCUUUGGGUACGAUCUGGUAGACGUUGAUGUAGAUUGCUGUUUCCUUGUCUGUGGGUCCGGUCGUCUUUAUUUUAACUAUCCCGCUUAGGUGGCGACGUUGAUAUUGAAGCGGAUGGAGAUGUAGAUGUAGUCUUAUUUGUUGGAUGCGGAUGGAGAUGUAGAUGUUCGUCCCCUCUUUUCCUGGUGUUGUUCCUCUACCUAAUCUUGAGGGGUGUAUGUUGUUCGAGGAUGUGUUGAGUCCGCCCGUCUUCCUACCCUUUACCUCGCGAUC